rnacentral:rRNA from 1 species
UACAGAGGUCUCAAGCGUUGUUCGGAUUCAUUGGGCGUAAAGGGUGCGUAGGUGGCGCCGUAAGUCAGGUGUGAAAUCUCGGGGCUCAACCCCGAAACUGCAUUCGAUACUGCCGUGCUUGAGGACUGGAGAGGAGACUGGAAUUUACGGUGUAGCGGUGAAAUGCGUUGAUAUCGAUAGGAACUCCGGUGGCGAAGGCGGCAUACUGGACCACUUCUGACGCUGAGGCUCGAAAGCCCAGGGGGAGCAAACGGGG